rnacentral:rRNA from 1 species
GAUGAACGCUAGCUACAGGCUUAACACAUGCAAGUCGAGGGGAAACGACAUUGGAAGCUUGCUUCCUUUGGGCGUCGACCGGCGCACGGGUGAGUAACGCCGUAUCCAACCUUCCCGCAAGUAAGGGAUAACCCGUGAAAUGCGGCCUAAUACCCUUAUGUUUUCCUUAGAGGGCAUCUGAUGAGGAACAAAGAUCCGUCGCUUGCGGAUGGGGAUGCGUCUGAUUAGUUAGUCGGCGGGGUAACGGCCCACCGUGGCGACGAUCGGUAGGGGUUCUGAGAGGAAGGUCCCCCACAUUGGAACUGAGACACGGUCCAAACUCCUACGGGAGGCAGCAGUGAGGAAUAUUGGUCAAUGGACGGGAGUCUGAACCAGCCAAGUAGCGUGCAGGAUGCGGCCCUAUGGGUUGUAAACUGCUUUUGUGCGGGGAUAAAGUGUGGGACGUGUCCCAUAUUGCAGGUACCGCAUGAAUAAGGACCGGCUAAUUCCGUG